UUUUGUUUCUGUUUAUUCAAACACCAUCUGCCAACAAGUUAGUAGUUGGUUACCUAUUAAAACAGGAAUUUAAGGAAAUAACCUGCUCUGUGCAAUAAAAACAAAAGCAAACUCAUCCAGUAAUUCUACAUGAGUGGCGGAGACAUCAAAGGGUUUAUGCAUGUGCAAAUAAUUUCACCUCGGUCCGUUUCUGAAGCCCAGUGAAGUGGGCUCCUUAUGCCCAAGUCACUGGAAUGCGGCGAUCUUGGGUUUGGACUAUUUCUGGAGAUGCGGAACUGCACCGGGCCGCCAGAUGCUUGCGACCGUGGCGUGAUGAUCGGAAUUAUGGAUGACCCAAGUUUUAAAAAUAUUUUCUAAGCUGCCAGUAUUUUUUUUUAUAAAAAAUAAUAGUUAUGUCUGACAGUUUUUUUUUUAUUUAGGUGUCACUCUGAUUAGAAUUUCCCAU